rnacentral:rRNA from 1 species
CGGGACGGGGUGGAGUAAUGUCUGGGAAACUGCCUGAUGGAGGGGGGUAACUACUGGAAACGGUAGCUAAUACCGCAUGACGUCGCAAGACCAAAGAGGGGGACCUUAGGGCCUCUUGCCAUCGGAUGUGCCCAGAUGGGAUUAGCUAGUAGGUGGGGUAACGGCUCACCUAGGCGACGAUCCCUAGCUGGUCUGAGAGGAUGACCAGCCACACUGGAACUGAGACACGGUCCAG